ACAACUGGCAGCUCGGUGUGGCCUGAGAAGCAUGAGUGAGGGUGGCCGGGAGACGAUUUGUCUGGACUGUUGUGAUUUCACCCUGACUUUUCCUGCCUCCAGCCUCUGCAGAGAUGUGGGCAGCUGGUCAGGAUGGCCAUUCGGGCUCAGCACAGCAACGCAGCCCAGACUCAGACUGGGGAAGCAAACAGGGGCUGGACAGGCCAGGAGAGCCUGUCGGACAGUGAUCCUGAGAUGUGGGAGUUGCUACAGAGGGAGAAGGACAGGCAGUGUCGUGGCCUGGAGCUCAUUGCCUCAGAGAUACUAUGGGGGAGCAGAGGUGGUGGAUGAAAUUGAGCUGCUGUGCCAGCGCCGGGCCUUGGAAGCCUUUGACCUGGAUCCUGCACAGUGGGGAGUCAAUGUCCAGCCCUACUCCGGGUCCCCAGCCAACCUGGCCGUCUAUACAGCCCUUCUGCAACCUCACGACCGGAUCAUGGGGCUGGACCUGCCCGAUGGGGGCCAUCUCACCCACGGCUACAUGUCUGACGUCAAGCGGAUAUCAGCCACGUCCAU
rnacentral:sRNA from 1 species